UGGGUAAUAUUGGACAAUGGGCGAAAGCCUGAUCCAGCCAUGCCGCGUGUGUGAAGAAGGUCUUCGGAUUGUAAAGCACUUUAAGUUGGGAGGAAGGGCAGUAAGCGAAUACCUUGCUGUUUUGACGUUACCGACAGAAUAAGCACCGGCUAACUCUGUGCCAGCAGCCGCGGUAAUACAGAGGGUGCAAGCGUUAAUCGGAAUUACUGGGCGUAAAGCGCGCGUAGGUGGUUCGUUAAGUUGAAUGUGAAAGCCCCGGGCUCAACCUGGGAACUGCAUCCAAAACUGGCGAGCUGGAGUAGGGCAGAGGGUGGUGGAAUUUCCUGUGUAGCGGUGAAAUGCGUAGAUAUAGGAAGGAACACCAGUGGCGAAGGCGACCACCUGGGCUCAUACUGACACUGAGGUGCGAAAGCGUGGGGAGCAAACAGG
rnacentral:rRNA from 1 species